UACGUAGGGUGCAAGCGUUAAUCGGAAUUACUGGGCGUAAAGCGCGCGUAGGUGGUUCGUUAAGUUGGAUGUGAACGCCCCGGGCUCAACCUGGGAACUGCAUCCAAAACUGGCGAGCUAGAGUAUGGCAGAGGGUGGUGGAAUUUCCUGUGUAGCGGUGAAAGGCGUAGAUAUAGGAAGGAACACCAGUGGCGAAGGCGACCACCUGUGCUAAUACUGACACGGAGUUGCGAAAGCUUGGUGAGCAAACAGUAGGAGAUACCCGCGUAGUCC
rnacentral:rRNA from 1 species